ensembl:lncRNA
ACUUUUAAUCUGAACAUGAAAGCUUGACAAAGGACUUUUAUUUUAUCUGGAAGCAACAGUUUGAAGUUCAAAGUGUCUUAAUGCUGGAUGUGUUUCAUCUUCUCCAGAUGUUCACUGAUGAACUGGAGUGCUGUGGAUUAUUGUGAUGUUUUUAUCAGACUCUCAUUCUGACUGCACCCAUUCACUGCAGAGCAAAUGAUGCAAUGCUACAUUUCUCCAAAUCUGAUGAAGAAACAAACUCAUCCUCAUCUUGGAUGACCUGAGGAUCGGCCUGACGGGCAGGAGAGGUCACGAGGAGAUGUCACAGGUCACGGAGAGCCGCCAAUCACGCUUUAGCCUCAACAUUUUGACAUGCGCCCAAUGAUUGCCACAGAGAGAGAGAGAGAGUCAUGUGACCCUGCAGAAAACUCCAAUUAGAGCGCGGAGGUUACAAGUUCUUGGAAACCGAAGGGAUGUGAGUCACAGUGUGAAGUGCAAAACCUUGGAAAAUGCUUUUAAUCACCGAUUCGAAGCUCCUGACUUUUUCGGCAACUGCUGCCAAACCCAUGUGACCUGAAGUACCUUAAAGUGUUUUAAGGUAAUGUUUCAAUCAUUUAAAUGAUCUAUUUAGUAAAAUAUGUUUUAUUUAUUAUUAUUAUUAUUAUUUUAUCAUCGUGUUUUUAAUUUUUUAAUUUUAUUUAUUUAAAUUUUAGUUGAAUUAUUUUAUUAUUAUUAUUAAAUACUUAAAACACUUCUGAUAUUUUACUUUAGUAUUUUAAAAAUGUAAUUAUUAUCAUUAUUAUUAUUUUAUCAUUGUGUUUUUUUCUAUUUAAAUUUUACAUAAUUUUUUUUAAUUAUUAUUAUUAAAUACUUAAAACACUUCUGAUUUUUUUCUUUAGUAUUUAAAAAAAGUAAGUUAUUAUUAUUAUUAUUGUGAUUUUGAAAGAAUGGUGAUUUUUUUUAAAUCUUUUAUUUGGGGGGGGUUAUUAGUUAUAUGUUUUUUUUUAAUGUAAUUUCAUAUGUAAUAAUUAUCAAUGUUUUAAAAAAUUCAUGUACUCUCAGGGCUUUUUGAACUCUACUUUGGGAAACCAUUCUAUAACUUAUUAUAAUAAUUUUUUUUAAUUAAUAUUAUUUUAUAUUUUAAAACUAUUUUAAAAUAUUUAUUUAAAAUACCCCUGAGAUUUUAAAUUUACAUUUAUUUUGUAAAUGUAUUUGUCCCUUUGUUUGUUUUUAAGAGUUUGUUUAAUCUAAAUUUGUGUAAUUUAAUUAUAAUUCGCUUUAAAUUAACUGACAAAAUGAUUAUCUGAACAUGUAAUCAUUAGCUUUUUACAAACCUCAGUUUGGGAACCUCUAGUUGUUAUUUUUAUAAAUAUUACUGCAACUAUUAAAAAUUAUGAAAUGUAUAAACUAAAUACAAAUACAUAAUGCUUGAUCUACUUAAUUUUAAACCUGUAAUUCUUACAAACCUUCAAAGCUUUUAAACAAGGAUUUGUCUCGCUUUUCUGCAACCUUUUUCUCAUCUUAUUAUACCCCACAUAUCAUAUAUCUAUUAAAAUAAAAACAAUAACUGAUAUAAAUAUAUGCAACUGUGGCAAAGUUACUUGUUUCACAUCAAAAUGUGUUUGCCAAUG